GACGAACGCUGGCGGCGCGCUUAACACAUGCAAGUCGAGCGAGAACCAGGGCUUCGGCCCUGGGGACAGCGGCGAACGGGUGAGUAACACGUGGAUAACCUGCCCUCGGCACCGGGAUAGCCCGGGGAAACCCGGAUUAAUACCGGAUGGCCCUUCCGGCUCACGAGCCGGUCGGAAAAGGUAGCUUCGGCCUCCGGCCGAGGAUGGGUCCGCGGCGGAUUAGCUUGUUGGUGGGGUAACGGCCCACCAAGGCUCCGAUCCGUAGCUGGUCUGAGAGGACGAUCCGCCACACGGGGACUGAGACACGGCCCAGACUCCUACGGGAGGCAGCAGUGGGGAAGCUUGCGCAAUGGGCGAAAGCCUGACGCAGCGACGCCGCGUGAGGGAGGAAGGCCUUCGGGUUGUAAACCUCUUUCAGGAGGGACGAAGCUACUCGGGUGAAUAGCCCAGAGGGUGACGGUACCUCCAGAAGAAGCCCCGGCUAACUACGUGCCAGCCGCCGCCGUAA
rnacentral:rRNA from 1 species